UUUAUUUCUAUCUUAUAUAGAAGCCUGAGAAAUAAUAACAUCUCCAAAAGUGAACAUUUUCAUUUUCGCUUUGUAUUUCAGGAACAAAAGUAGUUGGAAUAUUUCUGUUUGUGGCUUUAAAAGUUUUAUAAAAAAGUGAUACAGGGUCGCGAUAAGUUAUAAGUUAUAUCCUAAAAAUGACAGAGAUACCCUGCAAUCUCAUUCAAAAUGGGACACAGUGUAGAUACCGGGUCACACAAGAAAAAGGGAACACUUAAUAACUAUUUUACUCUUCAAGAUAUACAAAUGAAAUUUGGUAUAUUGAUGGAAUUAAUAAAUAAGAGCAUCUUUUGACAUAUUUAGUUUUCCGUUACUUCCUGUUUAACCAGAAGUGACACUAACCUUCUUAUUUUAAAUGAGACACUUGGUAUAUUAUUACAUAUUUCGAUAGAAAAUAAUAUUCUGAGAACAAUGAUACUGCAUUUUGUUUUAUACUCAUGGAAAAAUUCAAUUUUUAAAAUGUUUAAAUAAGGUGCCAUGAAUGCGUUGAAAGUUUUAAUUUUUAAUCAAGCAAUCACGGAAAAAUAUAUUUCAUUACAUUUUAUGACUUAAAUGUUUUACACGCCUAUUUGAAAUGUCCAAACCAAUAAGUUUGGCAUUUAAUUUAUUUUUUUAAAUUUCACGUUUUUGGAUACAAUAACUUUUAAAAUGCAGAUGUUUUUUCUUGAUAAAUAAGCCCAUAAGAAGACCAAAAACCAAGUCACAUAAAUAAACGCAUUUAAUUGAUCCCCGGCUUUUAUUUCUUGAAUAGGAGGCUGCGUUUUGGAGCCUACUUCAAUUAAUUGUUAAUUGACAUAAUACAUGACAUCUUAUCAAGUGAAAUUUUAGAGUUUACUAAUAUUUGAAAUGUUUACUAAAUAUAUUUCUAAAAAACUGUAUUUCAAAUGUGGUUUUUCAUAAUAAUGUGCUAUUUAAAAAAUAAACUAAAUGCAAUGAAAUUGUAAUAAUAUUACAAUUUCAUUUAAAAUUAAAAAGUUGGUGUCACUUUCUAUUAAACCGGAAGAAGUAAACAGGUGUUAGGUCUGGGGAUCUAGGUGCCCAUUCAAUAGGCUCUCUUCUUCCAAUCUGCUGGUUAGGAUAAAGAUCUUCCAACUACACAAGAAGGGGAACUACAUAAUGAGGAGGCGCUUCAUCCUACUAGAAUUGUAGUAAGCGCUCUUUAAAAGAUAAAUUUCCGUGUAUGUCCCUAUAAUUUUCUAAUUUCCGCACUAUUAGUCGUUCGAUAGACCCCUGUAGAAUUUCAGUAUACAUGUCGCUAUUUAAAUUUACUGGUAUAAAUAUUGGAUCGAUAAUAUUAUGUCCCAAUGCACCAGUCCAAACAUUAAUUUUCUGGGGGACUGGGUAUACCCUUAUCUAAAUGCGUGUGGGUUCUCGUCUCUAAAUAAAAGGUACACUCAUCACUAAAGCAAAUAUUCUUAACUAGUCGAGGUUCUGCCGUAAUUAUAUCUGUCAUUAUUUCACAAAACUGGAUUCUUCUGUUCGGGUCAUUAUCACCAAGUUCUUGCAGUAUUUGCAGUCUAAAAGCAGGGGUAAAAUUUCUUAUUGAUUCACGAGAUAAUCGAGUUGCUACAGCUGGUUGAUGAGUUGAUAAAGUUGAAUUCAUUGCAAACUGAGCCAGAAUUUCAAUUUGUGCCGUUACAUUAUUGAUCAAUCUGGGUUGAUUUAUAUUUUUAUUCGUGAGAGAACUAGUUUCGUCAAAUUUGGCUACUAGUUGACGAAUAUAGUUUGGGCUUACAUUUUGACCUCGAUGCCUUUCGUUAAAACAUUGAGCUGUUGCAGAGCAAUUGAGCACCUAAGAAACAUUAAUCCGGGGAACCAUAAAUGAAAAUAAUCUCUACACGUUCAGUUAUGCUGUACACCUUUGUUAAAGUGCUGCUUUUCUUUUAAAAUUAUUAGAAAGUCAACUGUUCUUAAAAUAGUAAGACUAGUACAAAAGUUACUUUUUAAAAAAAAUAUGUCAUAAUAAAAUGCGAAUAUUCAUAAACAACGCUUUUUGUUCAGCAAGAAAACCAUAACAAAUAAACCAAGACAAAAUACCUAUUUACGGGCUUGACAUGUUUAGAAUUCUUAAGAGACUUGGAGCCCACCAUUCUGAACAUUUCAUUUAAUAAUUAAAAAUUUGUAAACUAUGUUGUUGUUUAUUUAUUGUUUUCCUUGAUAAACAGAGAAGAAUUUCCUGAAAUGUGGCUUUCUAUGGUAUCAUUGGAAAGCAUUUUUUAAGAGCUUCAAGAUGAUGUAUCACUCGAUAGGUUACUACUUCUAUUUAAGAUUUUUGAGGUGUAUCUCACCCUGUCCAAGGGGUUGCAGACAAGGGUGAGAUAAUAUGCUUGUUUUUGUUCCGCCUUCGUUUUAUAGAUAGCGUUUUUUUAUUCAGUUUUUUAUUCUUAAUAUAUGGCUCUUUCAAGUUUUUAAAUUGUCACCCUGUAUAUAUACUACACCUUACAUCACUCUAGGAAUCACUCACUUAAUCUCUAAAAGAGGUGAAGGGCCCUCAAAAUACCAGUGUCUCCUAUAACGCUAUUUUUAUCAGAAUAAUUCAUACUCAUAUAAACCAGAAUAAUAUAAUAGCAUAGGACCAAAAUGAUUGGCAGUCCAACGUCUAGGGACACCAAAGAACUUUAAGUACCGAUUAAACCAUUUGAAAACAGAAGAAAACAAAAAAAUCUUGGUAUAUCGAAACAAAUAAAUAAACAUACAAAAAGACUAAUAUUUUAAGUACUUAGUCAAAUCCUCUCUUGGUUUUCAUUAUCCCUCAAUAUACCAAGUAGUAAGCUCAAUAAUUACCCUGCCAAAUACUUAUAUAGCCAAAAACUCAAUAACUUAAUGGACAAAUAAAAACAAUGCCAAAACAGAAUAGAAAAGAUGUCGCUGGUAAUGGGUAAUAUAAAACACAGUCGUAGCCAGUACAAAUACCUAGACUUUUUCAGGAACUUUACUCGACAAUAGAUGAAAAUAAAGAAUAAUAUACAGAAACUGAUAUUAUAAUGAGAACGUUACUUGCAAAAGAAUUACAAGAUCAGGUGGUUCCUUCCUAUAAGGUAACACAGAAAACAUAUCUCGAAGCAGAAAAAAGCAACUUUAUUAUGUCAGUCUGUUUUGAUCCUAGUGCAACAGCUUAGAGUAGCAGACACAAUAAUACGGAUUUACAUAUUAUAUGAAAAAACCAGAUACAGAAAUCCUAUAUACAUAAAAGAUAAUAAUUACAAUUAGUAUGACGUGCAUUGAUUACAAAAAACAUUGGCACCAUAUCACACGCAAUACUUAGCAGAGAAGUUUUGCUAUUGCAAAAUAGGUUCAACAUACCUGCAAGAUAUAUUAAAUCCAUCAAGAUAACUGCAAAAUGUGAUGAUUAUUUCAAAUAUAGAAAUUAAGUUCUAGAUAUUUUUACGAUAUUGUAAAUAAAUUUCAAAAUCAAAAAAUAAAUAAGUAUUUUAAAGUAGACUGGUAUCUAAACUGGGUCUAAAAAAUAGUUCGAAUUUGUUCAAACUUUUUUAGUUAAUACCCAGCUAUAAGCGUUCAAAAGUUACAUAAGUGUGGAAGUAGAAAAUAGUUGGAUGAGGAAAUAACGAUUGUAUUAGAGAAACUGCAUUGCCUUAGAAUGAAAUUACAUGCAAAUGCAACCAUCUCAUAGAUAUGUACAAGACUUUGUGGCCAAAUCUCAUGAAACAAGAUCAGUUGCCAAAAAAGAUGAAGCUGUCGCUGAUGAAAACAUUUAUUUACAUGUCUGGAAAUUGAACACGUGAAAUGUAUCUAGAGUUAUUGAACAUUGUUGUUUAGCCAGCUUUAGUUAAUUCCAUUGAGAAGAAUCAAUUAUGUCUGCUAGAAUGUUUAAUUUUCCACCAAAAUGGAACAACCCCACAUUCUGCGCAUCCUAUAAAAUAAUUUCUAGAUGAAAAUUUUAUUUAGGCUUUUGCCAAAAGAUCAAAAUAAAUCUGUAUCUUUAUGUACUAACCUGUAAGUCCUUAUUUUAUAUUUAAACUGAUAAUUUGUAAUUGACAUUAUUUAACUCAGAAAAUAUGUUCAGGGUUAGAAAAUUUAAUUUAAAACGUUUAAUACAAACCCAAAAAAUAAAAAUGAUAAUCUAGGUCUUUUAAGCAGCAUUCUAUCUCCUAAGUGUGAUAUGGCUUAUUCUUGCAGUUAUUAAAUUAAUAAAUAAAAGUACCUAUAUAAGA